rnacentral:rRNA from 1 species
GGGUGCGUAACACGUAUGCAACCUACCUGUAACUGGAGAAUAGCCCGGAGAAAUCCGGAUUAACACUCCAUAUGAUCACGAAGAGGCAUCUCUUUGUGCUGAAAGCUCCGGCGGUUACAGAUGGGCAUGCGUCCGAUUAGCUAGUUGGCGAGGUAACGGCUCACCAAGGCAACGAUCGGUAGGGGAUCUGAGAGGAUGACCCCCCACACUGGUACUGAGACACGGACCAGACUCCUACGGGAGGCAGCAGUAAGGAAUAUUGGACAAUGGUGGCAACACUGAUCCAGCCAUGCCGCGUGCAGGAUGAAGGCCCUAUGGGUUGUAAACUGCUUUUGUACGGGAAAAAACCCCUGGUCGCGCACCGGGGCUGAUUGUACCGUAAGAAUAAGCAUCGGCUAACUCCGUGCCAGCAGCCGCGGUAAUACGGAGGAUGCAAGCGUUAUCCGGAUUCAUUGGGUUUAAAGGGUGCGUAGGCGGAAAGGUAAGUCAGUGGUGAAAUCUCCCCGCUUAACGGGGAAACUGCCGUUGAUACUGCUUUUCUUGAGUACAGUUGACGUGGGCGGAAUGUGCUAUGUAGCGGUGAAAUGCAUAGAUAUGGCACAGAACACCUAUUGCGAAGGCAGCUCACGAAACUGAAACUGACGCUGAGGCACGAAAGCGUGGGGAUCAAACAGGAUUAGAUACCCUGGUAGUCCACGCUGUAAACGUUGAUCACUCGCUGUUGGCGAUACACUGUCAGCGGCUUAGCAAAAGUGUUAAGUGAUCCACCUGGGGAGUACGGUCGCAAGAUUGAAACUCAAAGGAAUUGACGGGGGCCCGCACAAGCGGAGGAGCAUGUGGUUUAAUUCGAUGAUACGCGAGGAACCUUACCAGGGCUUGAAAGUUAGGGAAUGACGCCGAAAGGUGUCAGUCAGCAAUGACCCGAAACUAGGUGCUGCAUGGCUGUCGUCAGCUCGUGCCGUGAGGUGUUGGGUUAAGUCCCGCAACGAGCGCAACCCCUAUCUUUAGUUGCUAACAGGUUAUGCUGAGAACUCUAGAGAAACUGCCCGCGUAAGCGGUGAGGAAGGUGGGGAUGACGUCAAGUCAGCACGGCCCUUACGUCCUGGGCUACACACGUGCUACAAUGGCCGGUACAGAGGGUUGCUACCCCGCGAGGGGAUGCUAAUCUCGAAAACCGGUCUCAGUUCGGAUUGAAGUCUGCAAUUCGACUUCAUGAAGCUGGAUUCGCUAGUAAUCGGAAAUCAGCAAUGUUCCGGUGAAU